GAUGAACGCUGGCGGCGUGCCUAAUACAUGCAAGUCGAGCGAACGGACGAGAAGCUUGCUUCUCUGAUGUUAGCGGCGGACGGGUGAGUAACACGUGGAUAACCUACCUAUAAGACUGGGAUAACUUCGGGAAACCGGAGCUAAUACCGGAUAAUAUUUUGAACCGCAUGGUUCAAAAGUGAAAGACGGUCUUGCUGUCACUUAUAGAUGGAUCCGCGCUGCAUUAGCUAGUUGGUAAGGUAACGGCUUACCAAGGCAACGAUGCAUAGCCGACCUGAGAGGGUGAUCGGCCACACUGGAACUGAGACACGGUCCAGACUCCUACGGGAGGCAGCAGUAGGGAAUCUUCCGCAAUGGGCGAAAGCCUGACGGAGCAACGCCGCGUGAGUGAUGAAGGUCUUCGGAUCGUAAAACUCUGUUAUUAGGGAAGAACAUAUGUGUAAGUAACUGUGCACAUCUUGACGGUACCUAAUCAGAAAGCCACGGCCAACUACGUGCCAGCAGCCGCGGUAAUACGUAGGUGGCAAGCGUUAUCCGGAAUUAUUGGGCGUAAAGCGCGCGUAGGCGGUUUUUUAAGUCUGAUGUGAAAGCCCACGGCUCAACCGUGGAGGGUCAUUGGAAACUGGAAAACUUGAGUGCAGAAGAGGAAAGUGGAAUUCCAUGUGUAGCGGUGAAAUGCGCAGAGAUAUGGAGGAGCACCAGUGGCGAAGGCGACUUUCUGGUCUGUAACUGACGCUGAUGUGCGAAAGCGUGGGGAUCAAACAGGAUUAGAUACCCUGGUAGUCCACGCCGUAAACGAUGAGUGCUAAGUGUUAGGGGGUUUCCGCCCCUUAGUGCUGCAGCUAACGCAUUAAGCACUCCGCCUGGGGAGUACGACCGCAAGGUUGAAACUCAAAGGAAUUGACGGGGACCCGCACAAGCGGUGGAGCAUGUGGUUUAAUUCGAAGCAACGCGAAGAACCUUACCAAAUCUUGACAUCCUUUGACAACUCUAGAGAUAGAGCCUUCCCCUUCGGGGGACAAAGUGACAGGUGGUGCAUGGUUGUCGUCAGCUCGUGUCGUGAGAUGUUGGGUUAAGUCCCGCAACGAGCGCAACCCUUAAGCUUAGUUGCCAUCAUUAAGUUGGGCACUCUAAGUUGACUGCCGGUGACAAACCGGAGGAAGGUGGGGAUGACGUCAAAUCAUCAUGCCCCUUAUGAUUUGGGCUACACACGUGCUACAAUGGACAAUACAAAGGGCAGCGAAACCGCGAGGUCAAGCAAAUCCCAUAAAGUUGUUCUCAGUUCGGAUUGUAGUCUGCAACUCGACUACAUGAAGCUGGAAUCGCUAGUAAUCGUAGAUCAGCAUGCUACGGUGAAUACGUUCCCGGGUCU
rnacentral:rRNA from 1 species